CAAACCCGGAGCUCCCGCCGUCUCCCCCGCUCCUCUGUCGCGUCGGAGGUCCGCUCCCCCGCAGCUCGGCUCCUCCGCAGCUCCCCCGCAGCGGCUCCCCCGCAGCUCCCCGCAUCGCCAGAGCUCUCCCGACCCACGCCUCCCCCACCCCACGCCUCCCCCGCAGCUUCCCUCUCCUUGUUCCCCUCCUCGUUCCCCAUGAUGAUCCCCGACGAGGAGAAGACUGAUUUUUUUCUUUCGAUCUGCUCGGCGGCGGCCAUUUCCAGGCCCUCCUCCUCGGCGUUGCGGCGGCAGCUCACCCGCGGUGGCGGCGCAGGCGACUAGCAGCAGUGGGCGCGCGAGCAUGCGGCGAAGGAGGUCACCUUCGGCGUCGGCAUGCACGCCACCAUGCCGCGGUGCGUCAACGACCUCGCGGACGUCGUCAAGGUCACCAUGGGCCCCAAGGAUCGUCAGUGCCCCCCUCUCACUACCUCUCACUCCCUGCGAUGCGCUGCUUGCUUGCAUUGCACGGGCGCAAUUUGAUUAUCAAGAGAAAGAACAGAUCCCCAUUUGCUUGGCAACUGAGUGCAGUACUGGUAAGGUUUAAAGAUCUAAAACACUGAUCUUUAUGCUCCCCAUUGCAUGUAAUUGAAUUGAUGGGGAGAAGAAUGUUGAAAUUCAGUUUGCAAAGAAUCCCCCUUUGUUGAAAUUCAGUUCGCAAACAAUGUUGAAAUUCAGUUUGCAAAGUGUUGAAUAGUGGAGUACUGUCAAAGCUGCACUGCUCACUGAAAACAGUGGAGUAUUCACUCAAAUUUUUGUGUCUCAGUUUAAGUUACAGAUCACGAAUACUCCAUGGAGUAUCAUGGAGCAGUACAAUACUGAGAACAUCUUCAACUCAAAUAAGAACAUCUGCACAAAUAUGGUGUUAAUGUAGUGUUAUGCAUUUCUUUAUCAAUCAUCCUGAUGUCGUCGUGUGGACAUGUGGUAGCACUGAAUAAUGAAUUUGUGUUAACACUGAAUUUGUGGACAUGUGGAUACUGAAUUUGUGUGGACAUGUGAUAGCAUUUCCUUUAUCAAGAUCAAGGAGGAGUGAGAAUGACAGGCAGCCAUGGAGCAGCAACUCAAGGUCAAGCCCUCCAUGUACGAUUCAAUCAAGAUCAAGGUUUGGUCUUCGGCCCUCUGUUGCAGCAUGUGCCGCUCAACAUGACCUGUAGAACACUGAAUGGAUGCACAAGAAAAGGAAAAAGGCAGCAAGGAGGGAGAGGAUAUUUUAGUAAGGAGUGAAAUUGUGACGUAACCAGAGAAAGCUUGCUCGUAAUUCAGUCAAGAAGGGGACGAUGAAGAGGAGGCCGUGAAUGUGUUGAUUCAGGAUCCAACUGGAUGAUCCGCUGGGCGGGGGCGCUGGUACCUUCAACAGCAGCACAGCGGGGGACAAAGAAGAAGAUUGGGGCUGCCUGGACGAAGAUCGGGAGCUGCACCACCACUAGCAUAAGCAGCAGAGGCGGAGGAAGAUGGCAACAGCAGAAGAGGCCGGAGUGGCGGAAGGGGGCAUGCCGGCGGCCGAAGCGGACGGCCCAGGCCCUGCGAGCGGCACAGGUAGGCGGCGGUGGUCACCUCUGUGGCAGCUGCGCAGGUGGGCGGCGGUGCUGGGUCGCAAGCAAGACGACAAGGAGAUGCCGCCCAUCAGUCAUGGAGCCGCCGCCCGUCGAGUUGUCGCCGGAGAGGAGCAGGCGGGCGGAUGCGAAGCUCGCCUCCGUGUGCGCACGUAAGCAGGGGAGGCGCAAGUUUGCAGCAGCGGGGCAGGUGGGUGGCGGCGCAAGUGGGACUUCGUCGCCGGCUGAUCCCUACGACGGCUGGGGCACGCUGUGCCCGCCGGCGACGGGGGGAGCCGGAGGCUGGGGCGCGCGGUGCCCGUGGGCGUCGGGGGAGGAAGAAGGGCAGAUUAGCAUGAGAUUUAAAAUGAUAAGGUCUUUUUGACAAAAUUACAAUUAAACUGCGUUGGUGACAACUUUUCUCGGACGGAG